GCCACUUCUGUUUCUCUUUUGAGUUGCUAUAAAGUACAGACGAUUCUACCAACCUUGACACAAACGCCCAGCUGCCCCCAGUUCAGUGCCACAGAGAAAAGCCUUGCAGAACAGGUUGAGUUUGUGGAUGGGCAUGGGGUAGAAGGUAUCAUCUCUUCUCUAUCAAUGACUUGGGUGAUACUUCUGGCAACAAAACAGACAGUUCUCGGCCUCUGUGUUUUCAUUGUCCAACUGAAGAUUAGACAAGAGGCAGCAUGGGGUGGUGGAUAAAUCGUGGACCAGGAUUGAAGCGAAGAUCUGCUCAUCUGGGACACUCACCAGUCGUCCUCAGGUUCUGAAGAGAACUCACCGGUUGUAGAGUCUGUGUUAAUCACCCAGCAUUAAUAUUUCCAUUGCUCCAUCAUCAUGUGUAAGCCUGUCAACAGCGUUCUUCUCCAGAAGUAAACUUGCUCAACCUUUAGUUUCACAUCAGUGAAGGUGGAUUCUUUCACCAAGAUGGACUUGUUUGUUCUCAGGAAAUCCAUACAGCCCUCGAUGAAGAGUUCAGAAACUCUUUUUAUGCAUUAAAAGCACCUACACAAUUUGAUGGUUUAAUACAACAAGUUUUUCCUCAUAAUUCUGUGGGUCAGCAGUUUGGGCUGGGAUCAGCUGGGCUGUUCCUCUGUUGGUUUUCCUGAGGACACUCGUGACUGCUGUCAUCAGGCAGUUCCACUGGGGCUGAGUGAUCCAACAUGACUCACUUACAUGCCUGGCUAUGGGUGACAGCUCUUCUCCGGACCUUACUCCCCACAAGCUUUCUCAUCCUCCAGCCAGCUGGACUGGACUUUUCCACACAGUGUUCUCAGGGUCUCAAGAGAGCGAGAGCAGAAGCUGCCAGGCCACUUGAGGUCCAGACUUGGAACUAACACCAUCACUUCUACUGCAAUUUAUUGUUCAAAGCAGGACAUUAAGCACCCCUAUUCAAGGGGGUAGAGAAAUAGACUCUACCUCUUGAUGGGGGAAGCAAAGGCACCUGAAAACAGAAGUGGGAGAAAUCUGUGACCGUUUUUUGCAGUCUUUCACAAGGAGAAAAUAAUCUUACCUGGACAAAGAAGAGGCUUCACCCCAGUGUUCUUUCAACUUUAACAUGAACAUGAAUCACCUUAGGAACUUGUUACAAUGCAGGUUCUGAUUCAGUUGGUCUGGUGUGGGACUGAAGGUAUUUCUAACAAGCUCUCAGGUGAUGCUGAUGCAGCUGGUUCACAGAGUACAGUUGGUGAACCAAGGUUCUAAUCACUGACAUGGGGUAAGUCCAUUCCCUUUUCUCUACUAAGUGGGGCGAGUGCUGGCCUGCCCAAUAAUGUACUGGUUCUUCCAAGGGUAGAGAGCCACCCAGCCUAUGCCUAUAAUUUAAGAUAUGCUGCCAGUGAACUCAGUUAAUGCAGUAUGUACAUUAUAGGUCUACUUUAAGAACCACAGUGGCCUGACACGGAUCACAUACCUGCUGGAAUUACUUGAUUCUCUGUUAGCUCUGUGUCUGUGUUUUCCAGUGUGGUUUUGUGACCACACUGGGAAAGAUCCACAAAUGUCAAUAUUAAAAUGUUCACUUUGACUUUAAAAAAUGCCAUCA
rnacentral:lncRNA from 1 species